GGUACGGUGGGUUCGCCCCGAACAAAAGAGAUGCUGAUCUCCCGCCAGACUUCGCAGUCAUGGCAGAAUUCCACUAUCCACCCCUCCCCCGCUGCCAGAUUUUUUAUAUUUCAAUUGUUAUCUGCUCCAAGAAUGUAUAAAGUUCCACUGAAAAUUCUCUGGACUUCCUACACUACUGAAGUUGAAAAGGGAAUAGGAGACGUCCCCCUGAAGCCAGCAGCUCUAACACAAUGACGUAACUCCCCAAGGCUUUGCAAAGGAGUCCACUUUAUCUAGUAAAACGGAAAGAACUUCUGUGCAACUGGACCACUUCACCAGGCUGUCUCUACUUCCCAAGACUGGCAGCAUGUGGUUGGGAAAUCUUUAUUUAUAUUUAUUGUUGAAUCUUUCUCCAGUUUGGCUUUAUCUUAUGUUGGCAACAUGAUUUUAAGCCC
ensembl:antisense Apol7d apolipoprotein L 7d